CAGCAGCCACGGUAAUACGAAGGGUGCAAGCGUUAAUCGGAAUUACUGGGCGUAAAGCGUGCGUAGGCGGUGAGUUAAGUCUGCUGUGAAAUCCCCGGGCUCAACAUGGGAAUGGCAGUGGAUACUGGCUCGCUAGAGUGUGUCAGAGGAUGGUGGAAUUCCCGGUGUAGCGGUGAAAUGCGUAGAGAUCGGGAGGAACAUCAGUGGCGAAGGCGGCCAUCUGGGACAACACUGACGCUGAGGCACGAAAGCGUGGGGAGCAAACAGGAUUAGAUACCCCGGUAGUCCCUGUCUCUUAUAA
rnacentral:rRNA from 1 species